AACGAACGCUGGCGGCAGGCUUAACACAUGCAAGUCGAGCGCCCCGCAAGGGGAGCGGCAGACGGGUGAGUAACGCGUGGGAAUCUACCCAUCUCUACGGAAUAACGCAUGGAAACGUGUGCUAAUACCGUAUACGUCCUUCGGGAGAAAGAUUUAUCGGAGAUGGAUGAGCCCGCGUUGGAUUAGCUAGUUGGUGGGGUAAAGGCCUACCAAGGCGACGACCCAUAGCUGGUUUGAGAGGAUGAUCAGCCACAUUGGGACUGAGACACGGCCCAGACUCCUACGGGAGGCAGCAGUGGGGAAUAUUGGACAAUGGGCGCAAGCCUGAUCCAGCCAUGCCGCGUGAGUGAUGAAGGCCCUAGGGUUGUAAAGCUCUUUCACCGGUGAAGAUAAUGACGGUAACCGGAGAAGAAGCCCCGGCUAACUUCGUGCCAGCCGCCGCCGUAAGAC
rnacentral:rRNA from 1 species